UACGUAGGGUGCAAGCGUUGUCCGGAAUUAUUGGGCGUAAAGAGCUCGUAGGCGGUUUGUCGCGUCUGCUGUGAAAACUCGGGGCUUAACUCCGGGCCUGCAGUGGGUACGGGCAGACUAGAGUGCGGUAGGGGAGACUGGAAUUCCUGGUGUAGCGGUGAAAUGCGCAGAUAUCAGGAGGAACACCGGUGCGAAGGCGGGUCUCUGGGCCGUAACUGACGCUGAGGAGCGAAAGCGUGGGAGCGAACAGG
rnacentral:rRNA from 1 species